AUUCUGGUUGAUCCUGCCAGUUUAUAUAUUUUUAUCUCAAAGAUUAAGCCAUGAAACCGCAAUAGGCUCAUUAUAUCAGUUAUGGUUCCUUAGAUCGUUAACAGUUACUUGGAUAACUGUGGUAAUUCUAGAGCUAAUACAUGCAAUUAAAACAUGACCCUUAUGGGACAUGUGCUUUAAUUAGGCUAAAACCAAGCUCGUUUUAUUGGUUGAACUCUAGAUAACAUGCAGAUCGUAUGGUCUUGUACCGACUUUUGAUGGUAGUAUCUAGGACUACCAUGGUUGCAACGGGUAACGGGGAAUCAGGGUUCGUUUCCGGAGAGGGAGCCUGAGAAACGGCUACCACAUCCAAGGAAGGCAGCAGGCGCGUAAAUUUCCCACUCCCAGCUCGGGGAGGUAGUGACGAAAAAUAACAAUACAAGACUCAUAUCCGAGGCCCUGUAAUUGGAAUGAGUACAUUUUAAAUCCUUUAACAAGGACCAAUUGGAGGGCAAGUCUGGUGCCAGCAGCCGCGGUAAUUCCAACUCCAAUAGCGUAUAUUAAAGUUGUUGCGGUUAAAACGUUCGUAGUUGAACUUGUGCUUCAUACGGGUAGUACAACUUACAAUUGUGGUUAGUACCUUUAUGUAUGCAAGCGUAUUACCUGUGGAGUUCUUAUAUGAGAUUAAAUACUUAUAUUUUUUAUAUGUUCCUCCUAUUUAAAAACCUGCAUUAGUGCUCUUAAACGAGUACUAUUGUGGGCCGGUACUAUUACUUUGAACAAAUUAGAGUGAAAUAAGACCUCUGUUCUGCUUUCAUUGGUUUUCAGAUCAAGAGGUAAUGAUUAAUAGAAGCAGUUUGGGGGCAUUAGUAUUACGACGCGAGAGGUGAAAUUCUUGGACCGUCGUAAGACUAACUUAAGCGAAAGCAUUUGCCCAAGAUGUUUUCAUUAAUCAAGUACGAAAGUUAGAGGUUCGAAGGCGAUUAGAUACCGCCCUAGUUCUAACGAUAAACGAUGCCAGCUAGAAAUUGGGUGUAGCUACUAUUAUGGCUCUCUCAGUUGCUUCCCGGGAAACCAAAGAUUUGGGCUCCGGGGGAAGUAUGGUUGCAAAGCUGAAACUUAAAGGAAUUGACGGAAGGGCACCACCAGGAGUGGAGCCUGCGGCUUAAUUUGACUCAACACGGGAAAACGUACCAGGUCCGAACAUAAGUGUGUAAGACAGAUUGAUAGCUCUUUCUCGAAUCUAUGGGUGGUGGUGCAUGGCCGUUCUUAGUUCGUGGAGUGAUUUGUCUGGUUAAUUCCGAUAACGAACGAGACUCAAAUAUAUUAAAUAGAUAUCUUCAGGCAUAUGGUUUUGGUUUUUUUUUUUUUAUAUUACAGUAUCUUUAUUUACAUCUGCCCAGGAGGGCAAUCUAUUAAAUUUUGUGGUACGUUGGCGGUUAUGUAGAUUCCCUAGGCAAUCUUAUAUUUGUUAGCUAGGGUCAUCAGAGGAUUCCUUUAGGGAAUCCGGAAAGGUAGGUCAAGUGGAUGGUUUCUUCGGAGUCUUCUGCGCUGUAGGCUGUUGUCAAGGAGGUUGAUUGCAAGAUGGUUCUGGUGGUUCUCCAGCUUCUCCAGGUGCCUCCUGCUAGCUUUCCUGGAUUCCUCGGCGACACUUUGCAUUUUGAGGUCCCUUUUGAUUGUUGUGUUCGUCACGUAGUAGCAUUCACGUAGCAUUCUGCUCUCUGUAGUUUU
rnacentral:rRNA from 1 species